AUCGUCGCUACGCUCGCCCAAUCUGUUGAUACAUAUUACAUAUAUCCAUGUGAUACUGAUGAGCGCGCAAAAAAUAAGUGCAUUAAUGAUGGAUUCAAAUAUAAUGGAGAACCAAUCUCUUUGUUUCAUUUCCUUUGUUCUCUUCUGGGAGACAAUAGGAUUAUUCUUACGUUUAUUAUAAUAUUGGAGCGGUCUAAUAAAACGGUCUUUUCAUCGUGUUUACAUUCGA